CGCUCUCCUCGGCACAGAACUGGAGCAGCUUCCAGCGCUGCCUGAGACAGAACGCCUGACAUCUGUCGUGGGGGCUCGGGCUCUCUUUUCCUCUCCCCGUGGAGAGAUGCAUGUGAGAUGUGUGCAGUGAAGUGACUUGUUUCGGAAUGGAUACAGAAAUCUGGUGCAUGCUACUGGCUGGCUGCCUUCAUUCAGAGCACAAGUGGCUGUACUUGCCUAGGAACAAAAUGCUGCAAAAUGGUGAAUGAGCAUGUGAUGAAGGAAAGAAACAGCUUUAUCACACCCCAAAGUUGGCUUGCUGGCGAAUUCAUGGAAGUAACAAGGACAGAACCAGAUUGCCACUCCCUUGGCAGCUUCCUGGCCACAGAGGUGAACCUUCCAGGGAAUGUCUUUCCAGUGGCUCUUACCUGUGGCUGAGGCUCCAGAUGGGACACCCUGUACACUUCUGCCCUUGUUCUCUCCUGAAUCUUCUGUGCUUGUUCCUGCUCAGGCUACACUGCACUGCAAAUAUUUGCUAGCUCACACAGAAGUCAGACAUUGGUUGUCCCAAGCCUUCCUGGAAGAUGCCUUUCAAAACCGAUUUUGUUCCAUAUCCGCUUUGAGCUGUGUAGAAGAAAAGCUAUACAGAGAGAGAGCUGAGCCUGGCAGAGCUGGCUGCUUGAGACGGAUCCUUUGCAGCACAGGAAUAAAUGAUUCUGUCACUCCCAGGAAACAGAGCCCUGGGUCCAAACUGUCGUCUUCAAAAAGACUUGGAUUUAUCUGUUUAUAGCAUGAGAGAACUCAGAAGCAACUGAAG
ensembl:lncRNA